rnacentral:rRNA from 1 species
GACGAACGCUGGCGGCGUGCCUAAUACAUGCAAGUAGAACGCACAGUUUAUACCGUAGCUUGCUACACCAUAGACUGUGAGUUGCGAACGGGUGAGUAACGCGUAGGUAACCUGCCUGGUAGCGGGGGAUAACUAUUGGAAACGAUAGCUAAUACCGCAUAAUAUUAAUUAUUGCAUGAUAAUUGAUUGAAAGAUGCAACUGCAUCACUACCAGAUGGACCUGCGUUGUAUUAGCUAGUAGGUGAGGUAACGGCUCACCUAGGCGACGAUACAUAGCCGACCUGAGAGGGUGAUCGGCCACACUGGGACUGAGACACGGCCCAGACUCCUACGGGAGGCAGCAGUAGGGAAUCUUCGGCAAUGGACGAAAGUCUGACCGAGCAACGCCGCGUGAGCGAAGAAGGUUUUCGGAUCGUAAAGCUCUGUUGUAAGAGAAGAACGGGUGUGAGAGUGGAAAGUUCACACUGUGACGGUAUCUUACCAGAAAGGGACGGCUAACUACGUG